rnacentral:rRNA from 1 species
AAAUUGAAGAGUUUGAUCAUGGCUCAGAUUGAACGCUGGCGGCAGGCCUAACACAUGCAAGUCGAACGGUAACAGGAAACAGCUUGCUGUUUCGCUGACGAGUGGCGGACGGGUGAGUAAUGUCUGGGAAACUGCCUGAUGGAGGGGGAUAACUACUGGAAACGGUAGCUAAUACCGCAUAAUGUCGCAAGACUAAAGAGGGGGACCUUCGGGCCUCUUGCCAUCGGAUGUGCCCAGAUGGGAUUAGCUAGUAGGUGGGGUAACGGCUCACCUAGGCGACGAUCCCUAGCUGGUCUGAGAGGAUGACCAGCCACACUGGAACUGAGACACGGUCCAGACUCCUACGGGAGGCAGCAGUGGGGAAUAUUGCACAAUGGGCGCAAGCCUGAUGCAGCCAUGCCGCGUGUAUGAAGAAGGCCUUCGGGUUGUAAAGUACUUUCAGCGGGGAG